GUGCUGGUGGCGCCGGCGGAGGAGCAAGGAGGAACCUCUCUAUGAAGUUUCUUUCCACAGCACUGCAGAUGUCGCCCUGCUGCACACUGAGGUGGAAGUCCCUGUCAAGUGCCUACAUGAGGAAAUGCGCUCUAACACUGAAAAGACCACCAUGAAAGACAGGAAAAAUCCUGAGUAUGAGAACCUUGUGACUGCGAUGGAACCACAAUAUGAAACAGAAGGAAUUUAGUAAAGUACCAGCUUUUCCACAUAAGCAGCCAUGCAGGGCUGCAGGUACUGAGUAGUGAAUUUAACAGAAGGAAACUCUUCCUCCUGUUGUCCCUCUGUGCUGCUCUCACUGCUUGUUUUAACCCAGAGGAGCUGCAUAACCUUUUUGUCUUUGGCAGACCAGGCCCUGCCUGCAGGAGCAGAAAAUCCGCAGCCAACUGCUUGUCUACCCACUUCUAUAGAGCAAGUUGUUUCUGAGCAACCUGAAGGACUAUGGGCAGGAAGAGGGGAUCUGAAGGAGUGAAAACAUGAAAUUCUUUAGCCUGUAGAUCCAGAAGUAGUUGGUGCAAUGCUUCUGGUCAGUAACACUAGCAAGGGGUACUCUCCAAUGUGUGUUCCUGUUAAGACAUUCCAUGCUGCAAGGAACCAGGAUUGUGCUGGAAAUGGGGAUCCUCUGGCUUUUGCAGCUCAGCAAAUACUGUUUGUACAUCCUGGCUGUCCUUGAGUUUUUCUUUUUUUUGUAACAGUAUGGUAAAGGAACCACAGAGAGGAGGUUGAUGUCCCAAGAAAUAUAACUUCUGCUAUCAGACUGACCUGUUGCUGACCUGUCAUGCAACAUGGGUGCAGUUCCUGUCUUCAGAUCCAGUGUAUUCCCUACAGUAAGCUGUCACUCAGCAGCUUGAUUUGCCUAGUCACUGUUAAUUGUUUGCCUCUUGCCUGUACUGCAGUGCUGCUGUCAGCUCUGUCCUCCCUGUCUGUGCCUCCAGCCAGCAUUCCUUUGUCCUCCAGGUUUGGCAGGAAGGAGGAAUGCCUCCUGGC